UGGGGAAUAUUGCGCAAUGGGGGAAACCCUGACGCAGCGACGCCGCGUGCGGCACGAAGGCCUUCGGGUUGUAAACCGCUUUUGAUUGGGAGCAAGCUUUCGGGUGAGUGUACCUUUCGAAUAAGCGCCGGCUAACUACGUGCCAGCAGCCGCGGUAAUACGUAGGGCGCAAGCGUUAUCCGGAAUUAUUGGGCGUAAAGAGCUCGUAGGCGGUUUGUCGCGUCUGCUGUGAAAGACCGGGGCUUAACUCCGGGGCUGCAGUGGGUACGGGCAGGCUGGAGUGCGGUAGGGGUAACCGGAAUUCCUGGUGUAGCGGUGGAAUGCGCAGAUAUCAGGAGGAACACCGAUGGCGAAGGCAGGUUCCUGGGCCGUUACUGACGCUGAGGAGCGAAAGCAUGGGGAGCGAACAGG
rnacentral:rRNA from 1 species